rnacentral:misc_RNA from 1 species
GAUGAAGAACGCAGCGAAAUGCGAUACGUAAUGCGAAUUGCAGAACUCAGUGAAUCAUCAAAUCUUUGAACGCAAAUGGCGCUUUCGGGAUAGGCCUGAAAGCACGUCUCUUUGAGUAUCGAUUCCACCACAACAAGUCAACUUGUUUGAAUUUGUUGAAAUUGAGUCUUUUCAUAACUUUUCGGUUAUGUGACUUGAAGCAAAAUGGGUUUUGAUCAGUAAAGUCAAAUGCUUUUGGUUCUUCGGAACUAAAUAGAGAGAUUGAUUAUGUUCUUUGUAACGUGGGUAAAUCCAAUACGUGACAUUGAACUAUCAAAGAUCAAUCGAUUGAUAAACAUUUUAACUUUCAAAAAGCCCUUAUAACACCAAAACUAUUGUUAAGAAUUAGAUCUCAAAUGAAGCGAGAAAACCCGCUGAACUUAAGCAUAUCAAUAAGCGGAGGA